rnacentral:rRNA from 3 species
GGGUUGUGAGGUUAAGCGACUAAGCGUACACGGUGGAUGCCCUGGCAGUCAGAGGCGAUGAAGGACGUGCUAAUCUGCGAUAAGCGCCGGUAAGGUGAUAUGAACCGUUAUAACCGGCGAUUUCCGAAUGGGGAAACCCAGUGUGACUCGUCACACUAUCAUUAACUGAAUCCAUAGGUUAAUGAGGCGAACCGGGGGAACUGAAACAUCUAAGUACCCCGAGGAAAAGAAAUCAACCGAGAUUCCCCCAGUAGCGGCGAGCGAACGGGGAGGAGCCCAGAGCCUGAAUCAGCAUGUGUGUUAGUGGAAGCGUCUGGAAAGGCGCGCGAUACAGGGUGACAGCCCCGUACACAAAAGCGCAUGUGCUGUGAGCUCGAUGAGUAGGGCGGGACACGUGGUAUCCUGUCUGAAUAUGGGGGGACCAUCCUCCAAGGCUAAAUACUCCUGACUGACCGAUAGUGAACCAGUACCGUGAGGGAAAGGCGAAAAGAACCCCGGCGAGGGGAGUGAAAAAGAACCUGAAACCGUGUACGUACAAGCAGUGGGAGCACCCUUUGGGG